CGAAACUUUGUUUCCUUGGCUGCCUUGACUUAGUGUGCGUGCAUCGUGAUGUGUGCAACGCACAAAGACCUCUGAUAACAUUGAGUGAGCUCAAAAUGUAGGUCAAAUUACUUCCGAAUGAUGUAUGGUGG
ensembl:ncRNA C49F8.9 ncRNA